rnacentral:sRNA from 1 species
UUUUGUGCGUUAGGGAUAGUAGUGACAUCCUUUUUUGUUAUUCUUAAAUUUCUAAAAAAAACACUCGAUUGAUAACAAAAAAGAUAUAACGAAUAGCCCGACCCUGA